rnacentral:rRNA from 1 species
UACGUAGGGAGCAAGCGUUGUCCGGAAUCAUUGGGCGUAAAGAGCGCGUAGGCGGCCCUGUAAGUCAGUGGUGAAAUAUCUCAGCUUAACUGAGAGGGUGCCAUUGAUACUGCAGGGCUUGAGUACAGAUGAGGUAGGCGGAAUUGACGGUGUAGCGGUGAAAUGCAUAGAUAUCGUCAAGAACACCGAUAGCGAAGGCAGCUUACCAAGCUGUAACUGACACUGAGGCACGAAAGUGUGGGGAUCAAACAGG